CCCCCUUAAUGCACUUCACUUGAUCGAGGUCACGAACCUUCCUCUUCCUAUCCUUAGCAAGCCUAUACAACCUUUUUUCCCUGCCUUUCUCCUCUACCCCCGCAUACAAACCCUCAAACGCAGCUGUCUUAGCCGCCAAAACUACUAACUUAGCCUCUUUCCUUGCUACUUUGUAGACCUCCCUAUUCACUUGCUUAUCCUCUUCAUCCUUACUCUAAAUCAACUGAACAUACGCCCCAUUCUUGAUCUUCAUUUUCUUCUUAACUUCCUCAUUCCACCACCAGUCCCCCUUAUGUCGUCCUGGCUGACCCCUCAAAACACCCAACACCUCUCUAGCCGCCUCCCUGAUGCAGCUGGCCGCCUUAUCCCACAUUAUAUCCACGUCCCCCUAUACUUCCACACCCCCAUUACUUCCACCUUCUCACCUAUCUCCAGUGCACUAACAGGCGUCAAGCCACCCCACUUAAUUUUGGGUCAACUCUCUCCGGCCCUAGUCUUCUUAUUCUUCUUGAUAAUCAAGUCCAUCACUAGAAGCCUGUGCUGAGUCAAAAGAUGCUCACUCGGAUGAUUUUACAAUUCUUACACAUAGCCCUAUCCCC
rnacentral:lncRNA from 1 species